GCGGAGCUUUUCCUUUGGCUAAAGAUAUCCUGAGGAUCUCUCUGCUCUCAAAUUACAGCUGGUUUCGUCACUUGGAAGCCAGGGAACAAGUUUGGAAAAGAACCUCUCACCAGGUCUCCACUAUUAAAGAUACUUAGCAUCAUGGAAACAUAGACCAAAGGAGUUUUCUUACUGUUUAUGCCAAGUGGAAGACCAAGGCCUAUUUUCACUCUAUCCCAGAAGAAAACUACAACUUCCUUCAGUUGAAAGACUGGACUGUUGGACUCAAGAGCUACAUUGCUUCAUUCCUUUUUCUCUGGGACAUUCAGAAAUGACAACAGAUGGAUUCAUAUUGGCUGCUUGGCCAAAGAAGCGAAGAGGAAUUUACUCUGAUUCAUUCCAUUUCUUGCACAAUCUCUCUCUGACUUACUAACCAAUUCAAUUAAGCAAACCUAUAUUAAGCACUUACUACUUGCUCCCCACUUGCAGGGUGCAGUAUUAAGGUAACUACAGACACAAAGAUGUGCAAUAAGAAGUUUCAGCCUACAAAGAGCUUGCUCCCUGGUUGAAGAGUCGGGCAUAUACCCAUAUAAAGUUAUCAUACGAAGGGUGAA